rnacentral:rRNA from 1 species
UUGAACGCUGGCGGCAGGCUUAACACAUGCAAGUCGAGCGGGAAAGGUUUUCGGACUGAGUAAAGCGGCGGACGGGUGAGUAACGCGUGGGAAUCUGCCCAGUAGUGGGGGACAACAGUCGGAAACGACUGCUAAUACCGCAUACGCCCUACGGGGGAAAGGGGGGGAUCUUCGGACCUCUCGCUAUUGGAUGAGCCCGCGUCGGAUUAGCUAGUUGGUAGGGUAAAGGCCUACCAAGGCUACGAUCCGUAACUGGUCUGAGAGGAUGAUCAGUCACACUGGAACGGAGACACGGUCCAGACUCCUACGGGAGGCAGCAGUGGGGAAUAUUGGACAAUGGGGGCAACCCUGAUUCAGCCAUGCCGCGUGUGUGAAGAAGGCCUUAGGGUUGUAAAGCACUUUCAGUGGGGAGAAAGGUUUGUCACCUAAUACGUGAUGAAAUUGAUGUUACCCACAGAAGAAGCACCGGCUAACUCCGUGCCAGCAGCCGCCGUAA